UAAAACCGCUUAAUCGUUCGGUUAAAAAUAAAUCUACUGCCCAAUUUUAAUUACCAUAAUUAUUGUUCGAAAUUAUAUUUUAAAUAGAAUAAGGGUAUCUCGGUAACUGUGCAAAUUAGUAAAAAUUGCAACCACCGGAUUUUACUCCCAUUUACCUCAUUUCAUCUCCCCCCACCCCAUUUUACUCCCAAUAUACCCUACAAUCGGUAACUUCUCUCUUCCCCUACCUGUUCUCGGUCCCGGCGGCUGUCUAUAGCAGGGCGCGCGUCGCUACGAUCGGCGAUGUUACUCUGCGCGGCGGGUUUCCAGUUCUUGGUCGACGAUUUGGAAUAGAGGUUUUCUGCUUGAAGACAUGGCGUGGCUGAAAUCGAACAGGAUUUUCAGAUGGCUUCUGGAAAGGGGAAAUGGAAAGAUCGGAUGGCAUGAGUGUGUGUUCGAAAUAUUUCAAUUUUUGUUCGUAAUUUUAA